UCAAAGCUGUACGACUCCGAUGGUGAGAAAAAUCGUUUCUCGAUGGUGAGAAUCAAAUCUGUAGAUAUCAGAAUCUCGAUUUGUUAAGAUGAAGAGAUCUUAAAUCUGAAAAUAUUAUAAAAGAGAACCGACGAACACCAUCGCUUUUCACCUUUGUAACUUUUCAAACAUAUAGCCUGGAUAAUAAGGUCUUUCAGUGGUCUCGUUAGAGCCAUUAUUCACUUGAAAGACAUUGACAGAGACAUCAGGAAGGCGUUGGUCUAGAUUAGUCAUCGCUAGAGCCAUUUUCCAGUUGAAAGACAUGGGACAGAGACAUAAGAAAGACAUUCAUAAUGACAUGUAUCCA